CCUACGGGUGGCAGCAGUGAGGAAUAUUGGUCAAUGGGCGUAAGCCUGAACCAGCCAAGUCGCGUGAGGGAUGAAGGUUCUAUGGAUCGUAAACCUCUUUUAUAAGGGAAUAAAGUGUGUGACGUGUCCUAUUUUGUAUGUACCUUAUGAAUAAGGAUCGGCUAACUCCGUGCCAGCAGCCGCGGUAAUACGGUGGAUCCGAGCGUUAUCCGGAUUUAUUGGGUUUAAAGGGUGCGUAGGCGGCCUUUUCAGUCAGCGGUGAAAGUCUGUGGCUCAACCAUAGAAUUGCCGUUGAAACUGGGGGGCUUGAGUAUGUUUGAGGCAGGCGGAAUGCGUGGUGUAGCGGUGAAAUGCGUAGAUAUGACGAAGAACCCCGAUUGCGAAGGCAGCCUGCCAAGCCAUGACUGACGCUGAUGCACGAAAGCGUGGGGAUCAAACAGGAUUAGAUACCCUAGUAGUC
rnacentral:rRNA from 1 species